rnacentral:rRNA from 1 species
UACGAAGGGGGCUAGCGUUGUUCGGAUUUACUGGGCGUAAAGCGCACGUAGGCGGAUCUUUAAGUCAGAGGGGAAAUCCCAAGGCUCAACCUUGGAACUGCCUUUGAUACUGGGGAUCUUGAGUCCGGGAGAGGUGAGUGGAACUGCGAGUGUAGAGGUGAAAUUCGUAGAUAUUCGCAAGAACACCAGUGGCGAAGGCGACUCACUGGCCCGGUACUGACGCUGAGGUGCGAAAGCGUGGGGAGCAAACGGG